UACUCGAGUGGCGAACGGGUGAGUAACACGUGGGUGAUCUGCCCUGCACUUUGGGAUAAGCCUGGGAAACUGGGUCUAAUACCGAAUACACCCUUCUGAUCGCAUGGUCUGGGAGGGGAAAGCUUUUGCGGUGUGGGAUGGGCCCGCGGCCUAUCAGCUUGUUGGUGGGGUGAUGGCCUACCAAGGCGACGACGGGUAGCCGGCCUGAGAGGGUGACCGGCCACACUGGGACUGAGAUACGGCCCAGACUCCUACGGGAGGCAGCAGUGGGGAAUAUUGCACAAUGGGCGCAAGCCUGAUGCAGCGACGCCGCGUGGGGGAUGACGGCCUUCGGGUUGUAAACCUCUUUCAGCAUCGACGAAGCGCAAGUGACGGUAGAUGCAGAAGAAGCACCGGCCAACUACGUGCCAGCAGCCGCGGUAAUACGUAGGGUGCGAGCGUUGUCCGGAAUUACUGGGCGUAAAGAGCUCGUAGGUGGUUUGUCACGUUGUUCGUGAAAACUCACAGCUUAACUGUGGGCGUGCGGGCGAUACGGGCAGACUAGAGUACUGCAGGGGAGACUGGAAUUCCUGGUGUAGCGGUGGAAUGCGCAGAUAUCAGGAGGAACACCGGUGGCGAAGGCGGGUCUCUGGGCAGUAACUGACGCUGAGGAGCGAAAGCGUGGGGAGCGAACAGGAUUAGAUACCCUGGUAGUCCACGCCGUAAACGGUGGGUACUAGGUGUGGGUUUCCUUCCUUGGGAUCCGUGCCGUAGCUAACGCAUUAAGUACCCCGCCUGGGGAGUACGGCCGCAAGGCUAAAACUCAAAGGAAUUGACGGGGGCCCGCACAAGCGGCGGAGCAUGUGGAUUAAUUCGAUGCAACGCGAAG
rnacentral:rRNA from 1 species